rnacentral:lncRNA from 1 species
CUUCUGUAGCACCAAUGUCCAUGAACAAGUAGCAAGCGCUCCAAAAAUCGGAAUUGUGCAAUUGCAAUAUCGCUUGACAUGACUGCCUGAGAUUUUGGGAAGUCAACAAAAAGGAGAAUUGAGAAUCCAUUCCGGGAAAGUGACCAGCAAACUCGAUGCACUGAUGAAGCUUUUGCUUAGAAGUUAGAACUUACCUGCAUUCCUUCAACCCCACUGAUACCAACACCAAUAUCUGCUU